GAUACCCUAUUAUUUUAAAAGUAAUUAAAUAAAUCUAAUUAGUAAUAGUUAAGUUCUUGAAAAUUAAAGAAUUUGGCGGUAUUUUAGUCUAUUCAGAGGAAUCUGUCCUAUAAUUGAUAAUCCACGAUUUUUCAUACCUGAUUUAUUAAUUUACAUAUCGCCGUAGUUUGAAUAUUUUUUGAAAAUUAUAAUAUUCAUAAUUUAUUUUUAUAAAAAAAAUCAGGUCAAGGUGUAGUAUAUAGUUAGGAAGAGAUGGGUUACAAUAAAUUUAUUUAUUAUGGAUUAAAAAAUUAAAUUUUUUUAUGAAGGUGGAUUUGAAAGUAAUUUUAUUUA
rnacentral:rRNA from 1 species